AUCACUUUUGUUUAUGUCAUAGAUGACAUCUUUGAUCUUUACGGCACUGUUGAAGAGUUAACUCUCUUCUCUCAAGCUGUCAAUAGGUACUCCAGAUUACUUAAGAGCUUUUAAUUUGUCUCUUCAAGAAGAAAAUGAUAAAAUGGUUCCUAUUUGUAUGUUUAGGACAGUAGGGAAAAAUGAUAAAAUGGUCCCUAGUUAUGUUUUUGAUAGGUACAAAAAAGAUCUUUUCAAUUUACUGAAUGUAAUCUUUUCAAUUUACUGAAUGUAAAAUGCUUUUCAAAUAUUUAAUAAUUUUGACUGUUAGAUAUCA